rnacentral:rRNA from 1 species
GGAAAGAUUCAUCGGUAUGGGAUGGGGUCGCGUCCUAUCAGCUUGAUGGCGGGGUAACGGCCCACCAGGGCUUCGACGGGUAGCCGGCCUGAGAGGGCGACCGGCCACAUUGGGACUGAGAUACGGCCCAGACUCCUACGGGAGGCAGCAGUGGGGAAUAUUGCACAAUGGGCGCAAGCCUGAUGCAGCGACGCCGCGUGCGGGAUGACGGCCUUCGGGUUGUAAACCGCUUUUGACUGGGAGCAAGCCCUUCGGGGUGAGUGUACCUUUCGAAUAAGCACCGGCUAACUACGUGCCAGCAGCCGCGGUAAUACGUAGGGUGCAAGCGUUAUCCGGAAUUAUUGGGCGUAAAGGGCUCGUAGGCGGUUCGUCGCGUCCGGUGUGAAAGUCCAUCGCUUAACGGUGGAUCCGCGCCGGGUACGGGCGGG